rnacentral:ncRNA from 1 species
AUUCCUAAGGCAAUAUGGCGCCCGUCAUAUUGCCGGCAGCAAGCGAAGGUGCCAUUGGUACCCGUGAUAUGGUCGGGCUGACCAUAUCACGUUCUUUUUUU